GUAGGUGAUGACCAGCAGUUUUUGACUUUGACCUGAUGUCUGUUGAAGACAUCUAGCUUCAGAGG